rnacentral:lncRNA from 1 species
CUUGGAAAAGCGCUCAGGGAAAAAAAUGCGCUCGCGGAUGUUUGAUUUUUGAUUUGAUUUGAUGUUUGAUUUAUGGCAGUAUUCUAUGCCCAUACUCCUUCCUCUUUCUGUGAGGAUCCAGACUGAUGUGAAAUGAAAUCCCACACUGAGGGAUUUGUGCUGAGUUUCCUAAAGUACAACCUGAUUUAUAUGACUUGAACCAAAUAAGAUGUAUUAAUGUAUGUAAGUACCACUUCAUAUAUACAAAUGAGUAUUCUUCUAUUUUUGAUUCUUCCUGCAGGUGUAGAACGAGUCCCUGUACCUACAGAUGCAUUCUACAUGGUAGAAUGUCCAGGUGGAUCAAACCCAAAUGAUGCCACAUAUUACACCAUCCCCGACCUUCAACCAAUGAUAAAGGCGACCGGUAAAGACUUUACAGACAUUUAUAACCAAAUAUUCUGUUGAUAUACUUCUGAAGACAAAACAGUUCAUAUUCAUCAUAUUAUCAUUUUUCCUCACAGAAACUUCUGGACCUGACGAGUCCCCGUACUCUGAGAUCUGCGAGCCUUUCAUCGGUGGAAAUAAUAAUGAAGGUAACUUUAAGCUUCAGCUCCUCUGUGAAGUUUAUAACAUGAGAUGCUAAACGAGGCCGAUUGUAUUUUUUGCCAUUCCAAAUAAAGCAAAAUAAACGAGAGAACGAACAAAGUGGAAAUCUACAAAAACUACCGAUGGGAAUUUUCCAUUCAAACGACCAUUUGAGUGUAAAAUUUGAGAUAACAGGAAUAAAAGUCUACAUCAUCAAAUAAUGAAUGAAAAGUAAUUUUUUGUGAUUGUCUCUGGAUCCACAGGUUCUUCACAGCCGACUGACAACACGUACUGUUUACUGCAGAACCCCAAAACAUCUGGAAAGCAUCCAAAGUGACCAAUCAGCUGUUUGUGAUGUCAGACAUGACUUGGGUUGAUGAUGUCAGUUGUUUUAUUUAAACUGUGAACAUGUAUAAUAUUUGACUUGUGUUUUAUGUAAAUAUUAGAUAGAUACAUUUUUUUACAAUACAACAUUUGUUAUUUUUAGAUUCUUACCUGUCAAACCGACCCAGUCUGCAAAAUAAAUGUUUGUACAGUUCUGGAAAACCGCAAAUAACCUGAAGCUUUUAUUUCUUUAUGUUGCAACUUUACGCUUGUUUACGUUUGUAUUUCUCUCUUGUCACAAUGUUGUGCUGAUGCUCUGGUUGGAUUUGGACAGAAAAACCACUUCAUCACAUUGUGGUUUGGCUUAAAGUACCUGCUCUGGUCGCUACAAACUUGUCUGAAAAUGUUGCAGUUUCCUUAACGACGCCU